GAUGAACGCUGGCGGCGUGCCUAAUACAUGCAAGUAGAACGCUGAAGGAGGAGCUUGCUCUUCUGGAUGAGUUGCGAACGGGUGAGUAACGCGUAGGUAACCUGCCUGGUAGCGGGGGAUAACUAUUGGAAACGAUAGCUAAUACCGCAUGACAACAGUUAUUGCAUGAUAACUGUUUAAAAGGGGCAACUGCUCCACUACCAGAUGGACCUGCGUUGUAUUAGCUAGUUGGUGAGGUAACGGCUCACCAAGGCGACGAUACAUAGCCGACCUGAGAGGGUGGUCGGCCACACUGGGACUGAGACACGGCCCAGACGCCUACGGGAGGCAGCAGUAGGGAAUCUUCGGCAAUGGACGGAAGUCUGACCGAGCAACGCCGCGUGAGUGAAGAAGGUUGUCGGAUCGUAAAGCUCUGUUGUAAGGGAAGAACGAGUGUGAGAGUGGAAAGUUCACACUGUGACGGUAUCUUACCAGAAAGGGACGGCUAACUACGUG
rnacentral:rRNA from 1 species